CUACUUUCCUCGCAGUUUUUCUAGCUGCAAAUUCCCUUGAAUUCUCAGUAGUGAGAUCCUCGAUUACCUAGGCCAAAGAAACCCUGAUAAAUGAAUGUUGUAGCUUGGUGGACUAAGGACAGUGAAGGCGACAUGUUUCUUGGGUCAACCUUGAUCAAAUAAUGGUACAAAUCAAGGGAUUGUGAGCAGUAAAGGGGGUACAUUCCUUGGGUUGGGUUGGUCAAGAGGAAGAGAGCAAGUAUGGUGCCAACAACCACGGUAAUUCCAGCUUCAAUAGCAUAUAUUUAAGUUGUUGUAGUUAAAAAUCUCGUAGUUGGAUCUUGGGUCGUGAAGGUCGGUCCACCUACUCAAUGUGCACCUACUCUUUCGUCCCUUUUGUUGGCGGCGUGUUCCUAGGCUUAAUUGGUUGGGUCGCGGUUUCGACGUUGUUACUUUGAAAAAAUUAGAGUGCUCAAAGCAAGCUUAUGCUCUGAAUACAUUAGCAUGGAAUAACACGAAAGGAGUCUGGUCGUAUUGUGUUGGCCUUCAAGAUCGGAGUAAUGAUUAAUUAGGACUAUCGGGGGCAUUCGUAUUUCAUUGUCAGAGGUGAAAUUCUUGGAUUUAUGAAAGAUGAAACAAUGUGAAAGCAUUUGCUAAGGAUGUUUUCAUUAAUCAAGAACUAAAAUUGGGGCCUUGAAGAAGAUCAUAUAUUUCCCUAGUCUCAACCAUAAACGAUGCCAACUAGAGAUCGACAGACAUUGCUCUAAGGACUCCACCAGCACCUUUUGAGAAAUCAAAGUGUUUAGGUUCCCGGGGGAGUAUGAACGCAAGGCUGAAACUUAAAGGAAUUGACGGAAGGGCACCACCAGGAGUGGAGCUUGCGGCUUAAUUUGACUCAACACGGGAAAACUUACCAGGUCCUGGAGCUCAAGUUGAUGUCGAUCGAGUUUCAGAAAGACAUUCCACUCUCUGUUCCUGUGCAUGCGGCGAAAAUGUUGUGGCCCUGCGUUUAUCCUGUGGUGAUUGUUU
rnacentral:ncRNA from 1 species